rnacentral:rRNA from 1 species
UACGGGGGGGGGCAAGCGUUGUUCGGAAUUACUGGGCGUAAAGGGCUCGUAGGUGGUCAACUAAGUCGGACGUGAAAUCCCUCGGCUUAACCGGGGAACUGCGUCCGAUACUGGAUGACUUGAGUUCGGGAGAGGGAUGCGGAAUUCCAGGUGUAGCGGUGAAAUGCGCAGAUAUCAAGAGGAACACCGGUGGCGAAGGCGGAUCUCUGGGCCGUAACUGACGCUGAGGAGCGAAAGCAUGGGUAGCGAACAGG